GGCGGCGAUCAGUGAAGACGCGGGUCAUGGUUGGUUGUCGCGCAGACUGUAAAUCUGCCGGCUCAGCCUUCCCAGGUUCGAAUCCUGGCGCCGCCA
rnacentral:tRNA from 1 species